rnacentral:tRNA from 1 species
UACGUGAUAAUCAACAAUUUGCAGUAGGUAGCUCGUCGGGCUCAUAACCCGAAGGUCGCUGGUUCGAGUCCAGCUCCCGCUACAA